rnacentral:rRNA from 1 species
UACGUAGGGUGCAAGCGUUAAUCGGAAUUACUGGGCGUAAAGCGUGCGCAGGCGGUUCGCCAAGUCAGGUGUGAAAUCCCCGGGCUUAACCUGGGAAUUGCGCUUGAAACUAGCGGGCUUGAGUGUGGCAGAGGGGGGUGGGAAUUCCACGUGUAGCAGUGAAAUGCGUAGAGAUGUGGAGGAACACCGAUGGCGAAGGCAGCCCCCUGGGUCAACACUGACGCUCGAUGCACGAAAGCGUGGGGAGCAAACAGG